rnacentral:rRNA from 1 species
AUUGAACGCUGGCGGCAGGCUUAACACAUGCAAGUCGAGCGGAGUGAUGGUGCUUGCACUAUCACUUAGCGGCGGACGGGUGAGUAAUGCUUAGGAAUCUGCCUAUUAGUGGGGGACAACAUCUCGAAAGGGAUGCUAAUACCGCAUACGUCCUACGGGAGAAAGCAGGGGAUCACUUGUGACCUUGCGCUAAUAGAUGAGCCUAAGUCGGAUUAGCUAGUUGGUGGGGUAAAGGCCUACCAAGGCGACGAUCUGUAGCGGGUCUGAGAGGAUGAUCCGCCACACUGGGACUGAGACACGGCCCAGACUCCUACGUGAGGCAGCAGUGGGGAAUAGUGGACAAUGGGGGGAACCCUGAUCCAGCCAUGCCGCGUGUGUGAAGAAGGCCUUAUGGUUGUAAAGCACUUUAAGCGAGGAGGAGGCUCUUUUGGUUAAUACCCAAGAUGAGUGGACGUUACUCGCAGAAUAAGCACCGGCUAACUCUGUGCCAGCAGCCGCCGUAA